GCCAGGUGAGGUGGCGCCUGCCUGUAGUCCCAGCUACUCAGGAGGCUGAGGCAGGAGAAUCACCUGAGCCCAGGAAGAUCGAGGCUGCAGUGAGUCAUGAUUGCACCACUGCACUCCAGCCUAGGUGAUAAAGUGAGACCCUGCCUCAA
rnacentral:SRP_RNA from 1 species